ensembl:lncRNA
GGGAAGGGGAAAACAUCAUCAAUCUAAGGCAGCACGAGGAAUAUUUGAGAUGAAUUACUGAAGGGAAGGGGCUGCCAACCCAAUGCUGUCUGGGGUAACACCACUGUCCAGUGCAGGAGCCCUCUGGGGUGAAGAGCCGCUUUAAAGCAUCGCCGUCUCUGGAACCUGGAAAGGAAACUCUCUCAUUAUCCACUGAUAUUUAUGGCCAUCAUUUGGUGCUCUGCUCAAGGCAGACGUCUGAGAGGAGGAAGGAAGAGACAGACGCUCAGCACGGAUAAAUGCGUGCUUCCCAAAGGUGCUGUCAAGCCUGCUGAGCUCAAAGCCAGCCUGCAGCCUGGGGGUGCACCCCAGGGCUCAUACCUGCACCCCCGCCCCUCACUGACAGCAUCUGCUGGGGACACCCAUCCCUCCUUCUGCUGAGGCUAAGGGAAAGUGUUCAGGUGGCUGUGGCACAUCUGAUGGAUCCAGAGACAGCCUCGUUAAAGCAUUGAUUUGCCCAUUGGUGCGAGAUGGGGGAAGAGUAGCAAGAAGCAUCCGAAUAUAACAAGAAGAUCAUGGGAUCACUGUGUGUUUGACCGGCACUGAGCAUGCACUGCUGUCCCAAAGCUUCUCUGAAGGUCUCAGCUACAAAGCACAGGGUCAUGCAAGGACAACGUCUUCUUAUGACCUCUGGCAAAGUAGCUGAUGUCCGUGCCCUUGAUUUGACUCACAUGCAGCUGGGGGAUGAUUGUGCCUGUCUCCCAAGACAGGUGGCUGCUUUAUUAAUGAACGGUUGCAAAAUGUUCUGAGAUCCUCUGAUGAGGCAUCUCUGGAAAGAGCAAAACACGACAGUGCCAAUGGAAAUUGGCUGUUUGGCUCCAAUCGCAUGCAGAAAGAGAGCCACGCAUCAGAGCUGAGCGCGUGGAACAGGAAACAUGAGGCAGGGGGAGAAACCAGGCACGGUACCGGACGUCAGUGAACAAAUGCUGGAGCUGUUGUUUGUUGCCAAAAGAAGGCACGUCGGGUUUGUCAGUGAAAGCAGAAGGCUUCAUUCGGUUGCGUUGGGAGAGCUCCAAGCCCACCAGGUUGGCUCAGAUUCAGCGGGUGGUUAUUCAGUGCUGGUUGGACUAUGGCUUACAUAGCCCUGCACCUGGCGAGGGGUUGACGCUCACCUCACUCUGUCACAGAGGUCUUUCCCCUUGGUUGAACCUGGUUGAACCUUGUCCUUGUGUCCUCAGCUUCCACGAAACAAUUAGAAUCAUAGAAUCAUAGAAUGGUUUGAGCUAUAAGGGGCCAUUAAAGGCCAUUUGGUCCAAUCCCAGCAAUGAGCAGGGACACCAACAGCUCCAUCAGUGCUCACAGCCCCUCCAGCCUGAGCUUGAUAUCUCCAGGGUUGGGGCACCACCGCCUCCCCGGGCAACCCAUUCCAGUGCCUUACCACUCUUAUUGAAAAAGCUUUGUUCUUAUAUCCAAUCUCAAUCUCCUCUCUGUUAGUUUGAAACCAUUUCCCCCUGUCCUAUCACCCUGCUAAAGAGUCUGUCCCCUUUCUUACAGCCCCUUCAGACACUGACAGGCCGCUAUAGGUCUCCCUGCAGCCUUCCCUUCUCCAGCUGCACAGCCCAGCUCUCAGCCUGGCCUCGCAGGGAGGUGUUCCAUCCCUGGGCCCUUCUCUGGAUGCUCUCCAACAGGUGCACAUCUGUCCUGUACUGAGGACUCCCCAUCUGGAUGCAGUGCUGCAGGUGAGGUCUCAGAGCAGAGCAGAGGGGCAGAUCCCCCCCCCUGCCCGGCUGGCUGCACUGCUUUGGAUGUACCCAGUAUAUAGAAUCAUAGAAUCAUAGAAUUGCUCAGGUUGGAAAAGAUCUUCAAGAUCAUCAAGUCCAACCUCAACCUAACCAUACUACCCUAACUAUGGUUGGCUGUCUGGGCUGCGAGGGCACAGUGCUGUCUCAUGCCCCGCUGCCAUCCACCAGUGCUCCCAGGCUGUGCUUCAUCCCUGUGUCCCCCAGCUCAUAUUCCUCAUGGGGAUUACCAUGACCCAGGUGCAGACCUUGCACUUGCAUUUGUUGAACCUCACAAGGUUCUCCUGGGCUCACUGCUCAGCCUGUCUGGGUCUCUCUGGACGACAUCCCAUCCUUCAUAGGCAUGUCGACCACACCACACAGCUUGGUGUCAUCCACAAACUGCUGAGGGUGUUCUCAAUCCCACUGUCAGUGUCACUGAUGAAGAUAUUUAAGAGCUCUGGUCCCAGUACUGACCCUGGAGGGACGCCAUUCAUCUUCUCAGAAUGCUCUGUGUGUGUUCCUGCCUUUCUGUGGUCAUCCACACGGAUUAUCGAGAGGAGUGACAGACAUCUGCUGCCUGGAAAGCUGUGCCUGAAUAAUAACAUCCUCUGGAGUGCCAUUAUUCGAGUUGGGAAUGUUUGCGGAUGGAGCGUAUCUCUCUAGGAAAAUGCCCAUUCAUCAAAGCAGAAAUUUUCCUCCAGGGAAGUGCUGUUUUUGACAAACUUCAGCAUCGGAUAAAAAGACUGAACAACAGUAUUUCAAUGAGUUCAGAGGACUCCACUUCAGAGGCACUGGAAUUUCCUUUUGUGAUGAAGUACAGAACUGCAGUAAGACCCAAACAACCAGAUUAUAUCAGAAUGGAGUAUUUUUGUUUACCCUGACGUGAAUGGUUAAAAUAGUUUUGAAAUACACAUUUUGUUGGAUUUUUUUCCUGUGAUUUUUUUUGUUUUCUUUUCAAUUCAGACCAAGAGAAACCUGUGCUGAUGGAAUAGGAAAUCUGACUUCAAAGCAAUUCCGAGUCAGAUGGCAGAAGAAGUGCCCCAGGCACACAACUGCUGUUAACAGAGAUCUCAACUUGGAGUCCCAGGUGGCCCUCCAGACUGUCAGCUCCUGCAGGGACAGUUUCCAGCUGUCUUUUCGCUUUUGAGAAGUGUUGGUUUCCUGAUUUAUAAGAGGAAGAACAGAUUUCAAAACUUUUUUACAGGGUUGAAUCCUUUCUUUUUUUUUUUUUUUUUAAGCCAGCUCUCACCAUCCUGGGAACAACCCAGUUCUCUUUAUUAUGUUAAUACAUCUCCAAUGGCCAACUCCAUGGGAAAGGCAAGUUUAAACCAAAAGCUUCCAACAUGUGAGCACUUACUCUUGCAAUAUUAAUGAUCGCUUAAUAAAGUCUUCCUUUCCCCCCUACAAACGCACUCUGCUUCCUUUUGAGAUUUUUUCAUUGUACAUAAAAAAUGAGAGCCUAUUGCCUGCAUGUCAAAGCAAAGAUCAAGAGGUGACAACCUUGACUUUAAUGUUGCUGAAUAUAUGUUUAAUGCAAUGGUCAGGGUGAGUAUUUCCAAGUAGAG